rnacentral:rRNA from 1 species
ACCAAGUCUAGCCCCAAUAAAAUUACAUAUAACUACACUAAUUUACUAAAUCAAAACAUUCAACCAGUUACAAGUAUUGGAGAAAGAAACUUACCACGGGAGCUAUAGAGAAAGUACCGUAAGGGAAAGAUGAAAGACCACUUAAAAGUGAUAAAAAGCAAAGAUAAACCCUUGUACCUUUUGCAUAAUGAGUUAACUAGAAAACUCCUAACUAAACGAAUUUAAGCUAGGAACCCCGAAACCAAACGAGSUACCUAAAAACAAUUUAUCGAAUCAACCCAUCUAUGUGGCAAAAUAGCGGGAUGAUUUUUAGGUAGAGGUGAAAAGCCAAACGAGCUUGGUGAUAGCUGGUUACCCAAAAAAUGAAUAUCAGUUCAACUUUAAAUUUACUAAAAGAACACCUAAUCCCUACGUAAAUUUUAAAAUUUAGCCAAAAGAGGGACAGCUCUUUAGGAAAGGAAAAAACCUUAAAUAGUGAAUAAACAAAAACUUAUCAUUAAACCAUUGUAGGCCUUAAAGCAGCCACCAAUAAAGAAAGCGUUCAAGCUCAACACUAAAAAAUUACAAAUUCCAUACACAUCAAUAAAUUCCUAUAUAAUUAACUGGGUUAAUCUAUAAAAUUAUAGAUGUAAUACUGUUAAUAUGAGUAACAAGAAUAUAAUUCUCCAAGCACAAGUGUAUAACAACACGGAUAACCAUUGUUAUUUAUCACACCACAGGUAUUAUUCCAAAAAUAAAACUACCUAUUACUAACUUGUUAAUCCGACACAGGAGUGCUCUAAGGAAAGAUUAAAAAAAAUAAAAGGAACUCGGCAAACCUGAAUCCCGCCUGUUUACCAAAAACAUCACCUCUAGCAUUACAAGUAUUAGAGGCACUGCCUGCCCAGUGAAAAUUUUAAACGGCCGCGGUAUUCUGACCGUGCAAAGGUAGCAUAAUCACUUGUUCCUUAAUUAGGGACUAGCAUGAACGGCUAAACGAGGAUUCAACUGUCUCUUAUUUUAAAUCAGUGAAAUUGACCUUCCAGUGAAGAGGCUGGAAUACAAAAAUAAGACGAGAAGACCCUAUGGAGCUUAAAUUAAAAGUUUAAUUUUUUAUCUAACAACCUAAUGGUUCAACAAAAAACUCUAAACUUAAAAUUUCGGUUGGGGUGACCUCGGAGAACAAAAAAUCCUCCGAAUGAUUAUAACUAAGACACACAAGUCAAAGUAAGAAACCUAUCUUAUUGACCCAUAAACUUGAACAAUGGACCAAGUUACCCUAGGGAUAACAGCGCAAUCCUAUUUUAGAGUCCAUAUCGACAAUUAGGGUUUACGACCUCGAUGUUGGAUCAGGACAUCCCAAUGGCGCAAAAGCUAUUAAUGGUUCGUUUGUUCAACGAUUAAAGUCCUACGUGAUCUGAGUUCAGACCGGAGCAAUCCAGGUCGGUUUCUAUCUAUUUACAAUUUCUCCCAGUACGAAAGGACAAGAGAAAUAGAGCCAACUUUUCAAAAGCGCUCUCAACAUAAACUAUGAACUAAAUCUCAAUAAAAUAUAUAUGUACAAAACACCAACCUAGAUAAGGUU